UUGGUUAAGUUAGAAAGGGCGCACGGUGGAUGCCUUGGCACUAGGAGCCGAAGAAGGACGGGACUAACACCGAUAUGCUUUGGGGAGCUGUACGUAAGCGUUGAUCCAGAGAUUUCCGAAUGGGGGAACCCACUAUCUUUAGUCGGAUAGUAUCCUUACGUGAAUACAUAGCGUGAGGAAGGCAGACCCAGGGAACUGAAACAUCUAAGUACCUGGAGGAAGAGAAAGAAAAAUCGAUUUCCUGAGUAGCGGCGAGCGAAACGGAAAGAGCCCAAACCAAGAAGCUUGCUUCUUGGGGUUGUAGGACACUCUAUACGGAGUUACAAAAGAAAGUUAUAAAUGAAGCGGUCUGGAAAGGCCCGCCAAAGACGGUAACAGCCCGGUAGUUGAAAUGGCUUUCCCUCCAGAGUGGAUCCUGAGUACGGCGGAACACGUGAAAUUCCGUCGGAAUCCGGGAGGACCAUCUCCCAAGGCUAAAUACUCCCUAGUGACCGAUAGUGAACCAGUACCGUGAGGGAAAGGUGAAAAGCACCCCGGAAGGGGAGUGAAACAGUUCCUGAAACCGUGUGCCUACAAGUAGUUAGAGCCCGUUAAUGGGUGAUAGCGUGCCUUUUGUAGAAUGAACCGGCGAGUUACGAUUUGUUGCAAGGUUAAGCGGAAAAAGCGGAGCCGUAGCGAAAGCGAGUCUGAAUAGGGCGCAUAAGUAACAGGUCGUAGACCCGAAACCAGGUGAUCUACCCAUGUCCAGGAUGAAGGUAAGGUAAUACUUACUGGAGGUCCGAACCCACGCACGUUGAAAAGUGCGGGGAUGAGGUGUGGGUAGCGGAGAAAUUCCAAUCGAACUUGGAGAUAGCUGGUUCUCUCCGAAAUAGCUUUAGGGCUAGCCUCGAGGUAAAGAGUCAUGGAGGUAGAGCACUGUUUGGACUAGGGGCCCUUCUCGGGUUACCGAAUUCAGAUAAACUCCGAAUGCCAUGUACUUAUACUCGGGAGUCAGACUGCGAGUGAUAAGAUCCGUAGUCGAAAGGGAAACAGCCCAGACCACCAGUUAAGGUCCCCAAAUAUAUGUUAAGUGGAAAAGGAUGUGGGGUUGCUUAGACAACCAGGAUGUUGGCUUAGAAGCAGCCACCAUUGAAAGAGUGCGUAAUAGCUCACUGGUCGAGUGACCCCGCGCCGAAAAUGUACCGGGGCUAAACAUAUUACCGAAACUGUGGAUGAACCUCUUUAGAGGUUCGUGGUAGGAGAGCGUUCUAAGGGCGGUGAAGUCAGACCGGAAGGACUGGUGGAGCGCUUAGAAGUGAGAAUGCCGGUAUGAGUAGCGAAAGAAGGGUGAGAAUCCCUUCCACCGAAUAUCUAAGGUUUCCUGAGGAAGGCUCGUCCGCUCA
rnacentral:rRNA from 1 species